AACGAACGCUGGCGGCAUGCCUAACACAUGCAAGUCGAACGGGAUCCUAGCUUGCUAGGUGAGAGUGGCGGACGGGUGAGUAACACGUGGGAACCUGCCUUUUGGUUCGGGAUAACCGCGGGAAACUGCGGCUAAUACCGAAUGCUCCCGAGAGGGGAAAGAUUUAUCGCCAGAAGAGGGGCCCGCGUCCGAUUAGGUAGUUGGUGGGGUAAUGGCCUACCAAGCCGACGAUCGGUAGCUGGUCUGAGAGGAUGAUCAGCCACACUGGGACUGAGAUACGGCCCAGACUCCUACGGGAGGCUG
rnacentral:rRNA from 1 species